GCAGUCGAGCGAACGGAUAAGGAGCUUGCUCCUUUGAAGUUAGCGGCGGACGGGUGAGUAACACGUGGGUAACCUACCUAUAAGACUGGAAUAACUUCGGGAAACCGGAGCUAAUGCCGGAUAACAUUUGGAACCGCAUGGUUCUAAAGUAAAAGAUGGUUUUGCUAUCACUUAUAGAUGGACCCGCGCCGUAUUAGCUAGUUGGUAAGGUAACGGCUUACCAAGGCAACGAUACGUAGCCGACCUGAGAGGGUGAUCGGCCACACUGGAACUGAGACACGGUCCAGACUCCUACGGGAGGCAGCAGUAGGGAAUCUUCCGCAAUGGACGAAAGUCUGACGGAGCAACGCCGCGUGAGUGAUGAAGGUUUUCGGAUCGUAAAACUCUGUUAUUAGGGAAGAACAAAUGUGUAAGUAACUGUGCACAUCUUGACGGUACCUAAUCAGAAAGCCACGGCUAACUACGUGCCAGCAGCCGCGGUAAUACGUAGGUGGCAAGCGUUAUCCGGAAUUAUUGGGCGUAAAGCGCGCGUAGGCGGUUUCUUAAGUCUGAUGUGAAAGCCCACGGCUCAACCGUGGAGGGUCAUUGGAAACUGGGAAACUUGAGUACAGAAGAGGAAAGUGGAAUUCCAUGUGUAGCGGUGAAAUGCGCAGAGAUAUGGAGGAACACCAGUGGCGAAGGCGACUUUCUGGUCUGUAACUGACGCUGAUGUGCGAAAGCGUGGGGAUCAAACAGGAUUAGAUACCCUGGUAGUCCACGCCGUAAACGAUGAGUGCUAAGUGUUAGGGGGUUUCCGCCCCUUAGUGCUGCAGCUAACGCAUUAAGCACUCCGCCUGGGGAGUACGACCGCAAGGUUGAAACUCAAAGGAAUUGACGGGGACCCGCACAAGCGGUGGAGCAUGUGGUUUAAUUCGAAGC
rnacentral:rRNA from 1 species